rnacentral:rRNA from 1 species
UACGGAGGGAGCUAGCGUUGUUCGGAAUUACUGGGCGUAAAGCGCGCGUAGGCGGCUUUGUAAGUUAGAGGUGAAAGCCCCGGAGCUCAAUCCGGAACUGCCUUUAAGACUGCAUCGCUUGAAUCCAGGAGAGGUGAGUGGAAUUCCGAGUGUAGAGGUGAAAUUCGUAGAUAUUCGGAAGAACACCAGUGGCGAAGGCGGCUCACUGGACUGGUAUUGACGCUGAGGUGCGAAAGCGUGGGGAGCAAACAGG